rnacentral:rRNA from 1 species
UACGGAGGGUGCAAGCGUUAAUCGGAAUCACUGGGCGUAAAGCGCACGUAGGCGGCGAGGUCAGUCAGAUGUGAAAGCCCCGGGCUCAACCUGGGAACUGCAUUUGAUCCUGCCUGGCUUGAGUAUGGUAGAGGGGGGUGGAAUUCCAGGUGUAGCGGUGAAAUGCGUAGAUAUCUGGAGGAACACCAGUGGCGACGGCGGCCCCCUGGACCAAUACUGACGCUGAGGUGCGAAAGCGUGGGGAGCAAACUGG